GCAAAUAUCGUUCAAAAAAGAAAUUACCUUGAAUCAAUUAACAACACUAUAUGACUGGAAGAGUGAGCAGGGACACCAUACAAACUCUUCGCUAUCAAGAUAAUGUUCUUUGUGUUUUAGCAAAUCCUAUCUUUAAUUCAGAAAGCAUCAAAAGCAUUUUUAUUGGAUUGCUUUCAUCUUGCGGCAGUAAUUCGAUGACUGUAGUCUGCAUAGAUGAAAUAAUUAGGCGUAUAAGUGUACAAGGUUUUGACCCUUCGAGAGUGAAACAAAGCAGAAUUAUAUAUGGAGCAGAAAUGCAAGAGUCAUAGAUCCAUAGAGUUGCAAAGAAAGUGGAUGAAACCAGAGGGAAAAURAAUAGUGCUUGCACCGAUGUCAGUAUAGGAAAYAUCGUUACAAAACCUGGCUGCAAGGGAGUAUGGGUGAUCAUUGACCUGGAAAUACCAAUCAUCUUAGCGUCAUUAAAUGGAAGAAAACACACCAACUAUAUAGCAAGGAGCCGCCCACCUCUGGGCGCUUACCAUGGUGGAACCUGGAUUUUCUGGAAAGAGGUUUGCUGGAAAAAGUUUAACGYGGCACAAAAAAGAGUUUCCAGGGACCAAUUCCAGGAUGGGAGCUCGMACMACCURCAGCCCCUCCCAUCUCUUCCUUUUAUCUAUUUAUCUCACAGCGACAGUGAAUACUGGUGAUUAGGCCACAGCCAACSCUCACAGAAUAAUGGUUACCAAGAGCUGUAAACUGAAUAUUUCACGACGAUCAAUCAAAAAAUUAAUGAAAGAGGUUGCCUUAUUCGACCUAUACGUGUAAAUAAUGUGUAUACGUGUUUUUAAUGUAAUUUACUAUAUCUUAAUCGGUUGUCAUUUUUAACUACUUCCAGAGACUGCAUCGGGGAGUUUAUAAUGCUAUAACGACAUCCUCUACUAAUAACUUGAUCAAUGUUGGCAAAUUGGGAGUUUAUAGUCUAGACAGGAAAGUUUUAUAUUGUUAAAGUACAAUAUACGACGUCUAUGAAAAGUAUUAGUGUCAUUACAAUGCGUUUCAUCCCCAACCACACUACAACCUAAAGACUUGAAAACAGAAAAUAAAUAAAAAAAGACUAAGCUAGUA